UACGUAGGGUGCGAGCGUUGUCCGGAAUUAUUGGGCGUAAAGAGCUUGUAGGCGGUUUGUCGCGUCUGCUGUGAAAAUCCGGGGCUCAACCCCGGACUUGCAGUGGGUACGGGCAGACUAGAGUGUGGUAGGGGAGACUGGAAUUCCUGGUGUAGCGGUGAAAUGCGCAGAUAUCAGGAGGAACACCAAUGGCGAAGGCAGAUCUCUGGGCCGUAACUGACGCUGAGGAGCGAAAGCAUGGGGAGCGAACAGG
rnacentral:rRNA from 1 species